ensembl:lncRNA
UGAAACGUUAUUUGUUCAAGAUUCACUUCCUGGUUAUAAGAUGUAUGAACUCAUCCCCCUCCUACAGUGGGACCAUCACCUUGCCACCCCCAGACCCUAAACCCCAACCCUGGGUUGCAGGGGAACCUGGAGCCUAUCCCAGGGAGCAUCAGGCACGAGGCGGAGUACACCCUGGACAGUGUGCCAAUCCAUCGCAGGGCACAAUCACAUACACACUCACACACCCAUUCAUACACUACGGACACUUUAGAGACGCCAAUCAGCCUACCAUGCAUGUCUUUGGACUGCGGGAGGAAACCAGAGUACCCGGAGGAAACCCCCGCAGCACGGGGAGAACAU